rnacentral:rRNA from 1 species
GACGAACGCUGGCGGCGGGCCUAAUACAUGCAAGUAGGGCGCAGUUGCGAACGGGUGAGUAACGCGUAGGAAAAUAACUAUUAGAGGGGGAUAACUAAUGGAAACGAUAGCUAAUACCGACAACUAGUAGAUGGACCUGCGUUGUUGUAGAUAGUAGGUAUGGCAAUGGCCUAGCUAGGAAACGAUACAUAGCGGAACGGAUGGGGGGAUCAGACACACUGGGACUGAGACAAGGCCCAGACUCAUACGGGAGGCAGCAGUAGGGAAUCGUUGGGAAGGGGGGGAAGCCUGACCCAGAAACGCCGAGGGAGUGAAGAGGGUUUGCGGAACGUAAAUCUCUAUUGUUAAUGAAGCGGUAUUUAACUAGAAAGGGACGGCUAACUACGUGCCAGCAGCCGCGGUAAUUC